rnacentral:rRNA from 1 species
UACGUAGGGUGCGAGCGUUAAUCGGAAUUACUGGGCGUAAAGCGUGCGCAGGCGGCUUUGCAAGACAGAUGUGAAAUCCCCGGGCUCAACCUGGGAACUGCAUUUGUGACUGCAAGGCUAGAGUACGGCAGAGGGGGAUGGAAUUCCGCGUGUAGCAGUGAAAUGCGUAGAUAUGCGGAGGAACACCAAUGGCGAAGGCAAUCCCCUGGGCCUGUACUGACGCUCAUGCACGAAAGCGUGGGUAGCAAACAGG